AUUGAACGCUGGCGGCAGGCCUAACACAUGCAAGUCGAGCGUGAAAGGGCUUCGGCCUGAGUAAAGCGGCGGACGGGUGAGUAACGCGUAGGAAUCUACCUGGUAGUGGGGGAUAACGUUCCGAAAGGAACGCUAAUACCGCAUACGUUCUGAGGAAGAAAGCAGGGGACCGCAAGGCCUUGCGCUAUCAGAUGAGCCUGCGUCCGAUUAGCUAGUUGGUAGGGUAAAGGCCUACCAAGGCGACGAUCGGUAACUGGUCUGAGAGGAUGAUCAGUCACACUGGAACUGAGACACGGUCCAGACUCCUACGGGAGGCAGCAGUGGGGAAUAUUGGACAAUGGGGGCAACCCUGAUCCAGCCAUGCCGCGUGUGUGAAGAAGGCCUUCGGGUUGUAAAGCACUUUAAGCGGGGAGGAAGGCUUGAUGGCUAAUAUCCAUCAGGAUUGACGUUACCCGCAGAAUAAGCACCGGCAAACUUCGUG
rnacentral:rRNA from 1 species